rnacentral:rRNA from 1 species
GUGCCAGCAGCCGCGGUAAUACGUAGGGUGCGAGCGUUGUCCGGAAUUACUGGGCGUAAAGAGCUCGUAGGUGGUUUGUCGCGUCGUCUGUGAAAUUCCGGGGCUUAACUCCGGGCGUGCAGGCGAUACGGGCUGACUUGAGUGCUGUAGGGGAGACUGGAAUUCCUGGUGUAGCGGUGAAAUGCGCAGAUAUCAGGAGGAACACCGAUGGCGAAGGCAGGUCUCUGGGCAGUAACUGACGCUGAGGAGCGAAAGCAUGGGUAGCGAACAGGAUUAGAUACCCUGGUAGUCCAUGCCGUAAACGGUGGGCGCUAGGUGUAGGGGGCUUCCACGUCUUCUGUGCCGUAGCUAACGCAUUAAGCGCCCCGCCUGGGGAGUACGGCCGCAAGGCUAAAACUCAAAGGAAUUGACGGGGGCCCGCACAAGCGGCGGAGCAUGUGGAUUAAUUCGAUGCAACGCGAAGAACCUUACCUGGGCUUGACAUACACCAGAUAGGGCCAGAGAUGGUCUUUCCCUUUGUGGUUGGUGUACAGGUGGUGCAUGGUUGUCGUCAGCUCGUGUCGUGAGAUGUUGGGUUAAGUCCCGCAACGAGCGCAACCCUUGUCUUAUGUUGCCAGCACGUUAUGGUGGGGACUCGUGAGAGACUGCCGGGGUUAACUCGGAGGAAGGUGGGGAUGACGUCAAAUCAUCAUGCCCCUUAUGUCCAGGGCUUCACACAUGCUACAAUGGUCGGUACAACGCGUCUGCGAGCCUGUGAGGGUGAGCUAAUCGCUGUAAAGCCGGUCGUAGUUCGGAUUGGGGUCUGCAACUCGACCCCAUGAAGUCGGAGUCGCUAGUAAUCGCAGAUCAGCAACGCUGCGGUGAAUACGUUCCCGGGCCUUGUACACACCGCCCGUCACGUCAUGAAAGUUGGUAACACCCGAAGCCAGUGGCCUGUCAUGGGAGCUGUCGAAGGUGGGAUCGGCGAUUGGGACGAAGUCGUAACAAGGUA